rnacentral:rRNA from 1 species
UACAGAGGGUGCAAGCGUUAAUCGGAAUUACUGGGCGUAAAGCGUGCGUAGUCGGUUAUUUAAGUCGGGUGUGAAAGCCCCGGGCUCAACCUGGGAAUUGCAUUCGAUACUGGAUAGCUAGAGUUCGGCUGAGGGGGGUAGAAUUCCACGUGUAGCAGUGAAAUGCGUAGAGAUGUGGAGGAACACCGAUGGCGAAGGCAGCCCCCUGGGUCAAGAUUGACGCUCAUGCACGAAAGCGUGGGGAGCAAACAGG